rnacentral:rRNA from 1 species
CCCCUGUUUAUCAAAAACAUCUCCUUUUGUAAAAUAAAAGGUACCGCCUGCUCAAUGCUUUUAGUAAAUAGGCGCAGUAUUUUGACUGUGCUAAGGUAGCAUAAUCAUUAGUCUCUUAAUUGGAGGCUGGUAUGAAUGGUGAGACGAGAAAACGACUGUCUCUAGUAAAAUAAUUGAAUUUCAUUUCUAAGUGAAAAAGCUUAGAUGAAUUUGGAGGACGAUCAGACCCUUUGGAGCUUUAUCUGUUAUAUAAUUUGUAUUUAUUUAAGAUAAAAGAAUUAUUGAAUAGAUUUUGUUGGGGCGACAAAGAGUUAAAAAUAACACUCUUUUUAUAAAACAAAUAUGAUUGAAAAAUUGAUCCUUAUAGUAAGAUUAAAAGACUAAGUUACCCUAGGGAUAACAGCGUAAUCUUUUUAGAGAGUUCAUAUCGAUAAAAAGGUUUGCGACCUCGAUGUUGGAUUAAGAAAUUAGCAAGGUGCAGAAGUUUUGCUGGAAAGUCUGUUCGACUUUUAAACUCUUACAUGAUCUGAGUUCAAACCG